GACGUAGGGCGCGAGCGUUGUCCGGAUUUAUUGGGCGUAAAGAGCUCGUAGGCGGUCUGUCGCGUCGAUCGUGAAAACUUGGGGCUUAACCCUGAGCUUGCGGUCGAUACGGGCAUGACUGGAGUUCGGCAGGGGAGACUGGAAUUCCUGGUGUAGCGGUGAAAUGCGCAGAUAUCAGGAGGAACACCGGUGGCGAAGGCGGGUCUCUGGGCCGAUACUGACGCUGAGACGCGAAAGCGUGGGGAGCAAACAGG
rnacentral:rRNA from 1 species